UACAGAGGUGGCAAGCGUUGUUCGGAAUUACGUGGCGUAAAGGGCGAGUAGGCGGCCUUCUAAGUCAGACGUGAAAUCCCCCGGCUUAACCUGGGAACUGCGUCUGAUACUGGGAGGCUCGAGUAUGGGAGAGGGAUGUAGAAUUCCAGGUGUAGCGGUGAAAUGCGUAGAUAUCUGGAGGAAUACCGGUGGCGAAGGCGGCAUCCUGGACCAUUACUGACGCUGAAUCGCGAAAGCUAGGGGAGCAAACGGG
rnacentral:rRNA from 1 species